GACGAACGCUGGCGGCGUGCUUAACACAUGCAAGUCGAACGGAAAGGCCCUGCUUGCAGGGUACUCGAGUGGCGAACGGGUGAGUAACACGUGGGUGAUCUGCCCUGCACUUCGGGAUAAGCCUGGGAAACUGGGUCUAAUACCGGAUAGGAGCCAUUUUUAGUGUGAUGGUUGGAAAGUUUUUUCGGUGUAGGAUGAGCUCGCGGCCUAUCAGCUUGUUGGUGGGGUAAUGGCCUACCAAGGCGGCGACGGGUAGCCGGCCUGAGAGGGUGGACGGCCAACUUGGGACCUGGGAUACGCCCCAGAUCCCAAGGGAGGGCAGCGGGGGGAAAUUUGCACCAAUGGGGGCAGGCUUGUGGAGGGACGCCGCGGGGGGGAAUGCGGGCUUUGGGGUGUAAACCUCUUUUGCUAGGGAAGGAGCCUUUUGUGACGGUACCUAGAUAAGAAGCACCGGCUAACUACGUG
rnacentral:rRNA from 1 species